AAAACUCAACCUCAAAUCAUUCUCAUUUCACUUCUAAUAUUCUUGUGCAGACACAACAUCCCCACACAAUCUCCACAAAUCUCCAUAAAUAAAAGCUCAAUCAUCAACUCAUCUCCAUCCUCUAAACGAAGCCAUACACAGACAUGACAAAAUCAAUAAUCACAAUUCAGACUUCUGCAAAUUAGCAUCAAAAUCCCAUCAUAGCAGAAUUUCUGCAGAAUUCCAGAUUUGGAACCCAAUUCCUACGGACACAGAUAGUAGAAACCUUCUUAAGGUUUGCUCUCUUCACUUCACCACUGUUACAGAAUCAAGAAGCCAUUUUUCGCAUAUACACAAAAGACAAUUUUCAGCAUUUGAGCUAUGAAAGUAUUUUUCUUUCAUAAGAUGCUUUUGUGUGUGUUGGUGUGUGUGUGUGUGUGUGAAGUUCGAGAGGCUGCUGCUGGGGUUGAGAGUCGAGGGAGGACGGAAGAGGGAGGACUGGCGACGGCGGCGGUUGCCUGAUGCUCCUGCUGCCCGUCGAUCCAGAGAGAGAGAGGGGUGGACGGUGGCUGGACGGUGGGGCUGUUCGGCGGAGAGAGCGACGGCGGCCUCGGCCUUUGAGGUCGACCGAAGGUCCAGAGAGGGUGAGAGUGGCGGUGGCAGAUAGCUACUGCUGCUGCUCUCCGGCUAAAACAGAGGGAGUGGGGCGGCGAUGGCGGUGGUCCGGCUGACCGCUGCUGUCGGCUGAAGCAGAGGGGGCGGUUCCAGCGGUUACCUCACCGGAAAUCGAAGGAAAAAUGACCUAGGGUUGCUGAUUUGGGAAUUUUUGGCGAGGGAGGGGAUGAGGGUGACGAGCAAGGUGGUAAGUGAGAAAUCAGAGAGGUAAGGGAGAAUGAGGAGGGCGGCUGGUGCCGGCAACUUCGCCGGAUCAGGAGGCGGCGGUGGUGUGAGAUGAGGGAAGGAGAGAGGAACCGAAGCAGAGAGAGAGAGAGAAAGAGGGGGAGUUUCAGCGUGUUUUACAGAGAGAGAGAAACGAGCGGAAAUAAGGGAGAAGAAUCUGGGGGUUGACCUUAUUUUUGGGCUCAGGUUGGGCCUUUGAUUAAGAAAACAAUUGGGCUUCAUGCAUAUAUUUCUAUUGGGCUGUAUGUUUAUUUGUUUGGUUAUAUGUUUUAAUUAAAAAGUUAAAGUCUUACAAAUGUUUGUAAGCAAAAUAUUUUUUUUAAGUUGAUUUUAUGCUAAAGAUGAGUUUUUUUUUUAGUAAAAGUCGAGCAAGGGUAUUAUUGAAACCCUUAGCCAAGAAAAAUGAUUUUUAAGUUUUAUGUUGAAUUUAUGAAAACUCGGGUGUUGCGAAUUUAGUUAGAAAAUGAUGACAAGUAAUGAAGGUUAAGUUUGAUUUUAGGACUAUGAGUUUAAGUUGAGAACUUAUCUUGUAGGUCCUACAGAAGAGGAUAUUUAGGCUCUUGUUCAGCUGAGUUAUACUAUUUGGAUUUUCUCCAAAUCAGGUGGGCUUUAUUUUCAGUAAUGUAUGUGGAAUUAAUAAUCUAUGUUAUCAAUGAAAAGGUAGAUAUGAUUUAUUCAUGUUUAAAUGAUUUAUUUAUGCUAUAUGUGGAAAUGAUGAGAAUGGUUUGAAUGUAAGAAUGAUGUGAAUAUGAGAAUGGUUUCACCUAUGGCUACACCUAUGGAUACACCUAUGGCUACACCAAUGGCUACACCAAUGGUUUGAAUGUAAAAAUGGUUGAAUGUGAGAAUGGUUUCACCUAUGGCUACACCUAUGGAUACACCUAUGGCUACACCCAUGGUUUCACUACGAAUGAAUUUAUGUAUGUCAAUUAUGAAUGGUUACAACUAUGAAUGAAUUGUGUGGUUAUGAUAUGAAGGUGUUUUUAACAUGCUUCAAUGUAUUUUAUUUUAAGUCUUGUUCUAUGAGAUUAGCAAGCGUUUAAAGUUGUCAUGAAGAGUCAAGCAAGUGGAAAUGCCCAUGAAUUAUCUUUUUCAGUAAAUGAUUUUUAAAAUGUUUUUAAAUGGCUCAGCCCACUGAGUACACUAGUACUCAACCCUGCAAUUAUUUUCAAAACCUUUUGCAGAUUGAGCAGCUGGUGGUGACGUGCGAAGCUGAGGAAGGGUUGUUGCUGUAAUAUUGAAGAACACUCUGUUUUACUUCCGCUGAAAUAAAUUCACUUGGUGAAUAUAAUCUUAUGCCUAACUAUACUUUAAAUCGUUUUAAUCUGGAUUCCAUUUUCCAUCGUUUUCCCAAGUGAUUGUUAUUCUGCAUAUAUAUAUUAUAUGCCUAAUAUGAAAUGUUUUUUUGGGCUCAGACCUUCGAACUUUCGAUCCUUUUAGGGAGAACAAUUA
rnacentral:lncRNA from 1 species